rnacentral:rRNA from 1 species
AUAAUGGGUCAGCGACUUAUAUUCUGUAGCAAGGUUAACCGAAUAGGGGAGCCGAAGGGAAACCGAGUCUUAACUGGGCGUUAAGUUGCAGGGUAUAGACCCGAAACCCGGUGAUCUAGCCAUGGGCAGGUUGAAGGUUGGGUAACACUAACUGGAGGACCGAACCGACUAAUGUUGAAAAAUUAGCGGAUGACUUGUGGCUGGGGGUGAAAGGCCAAUCAAACCGGGAGAUAGCUGGUUCUCCCCGAAAGCUAUUUAGGUAGCGCCUCGUGAAUUCAUCUCCGGGGGUAGAGCACUGUUUCGGCAAGGGGGUCAUCCCGACUUACCAACCCGAUGCAAACUGCGAAUACCGGAGAAUGUUAUCACGGGAGACACACGGCGGGUGCUAACGUCCGUCGUGAAGAGGGAAACAACCCAGACCGCCAGCUAAGGUCCCAAAGUCAUGGUUAAGUGGGAAACGAUGUGGGAAGGCCCAGACAGCCAGGAUGUUGGCUUAGAAGCAGCCAUCAUUUAAAGAAAGCGUAAUAGCUCACUGGUCGAGUCGGCCUGCGCGGAAGAUGUAACGGGGCUAAACCAUGCACCGAAGCUGCGGCAGCGACGCUGAUGCGUUGUUGGGUAGGGGAGCGUUCUGUAAGCCUGUGAAGGUGUGCUGUGAGGCAUGCUGGAGGUAUCAGAAGUGCGAAUGCUGACAUAAGUAACGAUAAAGCGGGUGAAAAGCCCGCUCGCCGGAAGACCAAGGGUUCCUGUCCAACGUUAAUCGGGGCAGGGUGAGUCGACCCCUAAGGCGAGGCCGAAAGGCGUAGUCGAUGGGAAACAGGUUAAUAUUCCUGUACUUGGUGUUACUGCGAAGGGGGGACGGAGAAGGCUAUGUUGGCCGGGCGACGGUUGUCCCGGUUUAAGCGUGUAGGCUGGUUUUCCAGGCAAAUCCGGAAAAUCAAGGCUGAGGCGUGAUGACGAGGCACUACGGUGCUGAAGCAACAAAUGCCCUGCUUCCAGGAAAAGCCUCUAAGCAUCAGGUAACAUCAAAUCGUACCCCAAACCGACACAGGUGGUCAGGUAGAGAAUACCAAGGCGCUUGAGAGAACUCGGGUGAAGGAACUAGGCAAAAUGGUGCCGUAACUUCGGGAGAAGGCACGCUGAUAUGUAGGUGAAGUCCCUCGCGGAUGGAGCUGAAAUCAGUCGAAGAUACCAGCUGGCUGCAACUGUUUAUUAAAAACACAGCACUGUGCAAACACGAAAGUGGACGUAUACGGUGUGACGCCUGCCCGGUGCCGGAAGGUUAAUUGAUGGGGUCAGCGCAAGCGAAGCUCUUGAUCGAAGCCCCGGUAAACGGCGGCCGUAACUAUAACGGUCCUAAGGUAGCGAAAUUCCUUGUCGGGUAAGUUCCGACCUGCACGAAUGGCGUAAUGAUGGCCAGGCUGUCUCCACCCGAGACUCAGUGAAAUUGAACUCGCUGUGAAGAUGCAGUGUACCCGCGGCAAGACGGAAAGACCCCGUGAACCUUUACUAUAGCUUGACACUGAACAUUGAGCCUUGAUGUGUAGGAUAGGUGGGAGGCUUUGAAGUGUGGACGCCAGUCUGCAUGGAGCCGGCCUUGAAAUACCACCCUUUAAUGUUUGAUGUUCUAACGUUGACCCGUGAUCCGGGUUGCGGACAGUGUCUGGUGGGUAGUUUGACUGGGGCGGUCUCCUCCUAAAGAGUAACGGAGGAGCACGAAGGUUGGCUAAUCCUGGUCGGACAUCAGGAGGUUAGUGCAAUGGCAUAAGCCAGCUUGACUGCGAGCGUGACGGCGCGAGCAGGUGCGAAAGCAGGUCAUAGUGAUCCGGUGGUUCUGAAUGGAAGGGCCAUCGCUCAACGGAUAAAAGGUACUCCGGGGAUAACAGGCUGAUACCGCCCAAGAGUUCAUAUCGACGGCGGUGUUUGGCACCUCGAUGUCGGCUCAUCACAUCCUGGGGCUGAAGUAGGUCCCAAGGGUAUGGCUGUUCGCCAUUUAAAGUGGUACGCGAGCUGGGUUUAGAACGUCGUGAGACAGUUCGGUCCCUAUCUGCCGUGGG